rnacentral:rRNA from 1 species
CAAGGAAUUUUCGGCAAUGGGCGCAAGCCUGACCGAGCAACGCCGCGUGGUGGAUGACGGCUUUCGGGUUGUAAACACCUUUUGGGGGGGAUGACAUCGACCGUACCCCCCGAAUAAGCCCCGGCUAACUCUGUGCCAGCAGCCGCGGUGAGCCAGAGGGGGCAAGCGUUGUCCGGAGUUACUGGGCGUAAAGCGCACGCAGGCGGCACGGCAAGUGUGGUGUGAAACCCGCCGGCUUAACCGGUGGACGCCAUCGCAGACUGCCGCGCUCGAGCCGUUCAGAGGUCCCUCGAAUUGCCGGUGUAGUGGUGAAAUGCGUAGAGAUCGGCAGGAAGACCCACGGGGAAGCCAGGGGACUGGGAACGUGCUGACGCUCAGGUGCGAGAGCGUGGGGAGCGAA